CGAAAUGUGCGGUUAAAAUUACUGUUCACUUUGACUUAAUGUUUAUCAAACUUUUAAGCCACACUAAAUAGGGUCUAAAUCUGUUGUUUAAAAAAAAUGGAUAAGCACGACAAUUCUACUACAAAUAUUCUAAGGCUAUGUUGAGCCCUAUUUUUUUGGAAAUAUAUUUUGUGCUUAAAAAGUUGAAAAAAGUUUUGGCUUUAUGUGCAAAAAAGGGAAACUUUCAGACACUUGAAUCAUGAUUUGUACAAACUUAGUUCCAAUGUGGAUUACUUUGCUUGUGAAAAUUUUGAUAUCUUUAUAAUGAAUUUAUCUGUACAAGCACUAGAAAAUCAUUGAAAUAAAAUUUCUAAUCAUAUUUUCGAUUGAUUUGUUGUUAGACAGUUAAUCCUAUUUAGACAGUUAAUCCUAUUUGUAAAUGUAGGUACAAUGAACAUUACCAAAUGGUCUGUAGAUUUGUGAUGUUGUCAUGAAAUCUGAUGGUCUUUGACCUAUAUGCCAAGCUUCUCGAAAAUAUCAUGAGGUAAAUCUUCAAUUAAGCUAAGCAUAAAUGUCUUAAUCGAUUUUCUGGGUGUCAAGUUGUAUUAGAGAUGAAAUCACAACUGACAUAAUAGGGAAAUCCUCAAGCUAUGUGGUAUUGAAUUAUAGUUUUAUGUUUUAUAUUAACAAUAAGAUUAACAAGCAUUCAUUCAUUUGGUAAAUUAAUUCUUUUCAAUUUUUUGAGUUUUUACUUCUCUGUACUUGCUUAUGAUCAAUGAUUUCGUCUAUGUAGUUAAUUUAGCCAAUAUGCCGUUAACAUUCAUUUUUCUUCAUAUAAAGAUAGGACAUAAAGUUGCAUUCAUUCCUGGGGGUAUGUUAGCGCAAUAGCUUCAUGCAUUACAACUUUUGCGACGAUAGCUUUGACAAGUAGUUUCUUUGUGAAGUGUUAUAGUUCAAGUAUGUCAAUCAUGAUGCUUACACAUUUACUAUGGUUAGGUCGUCAGUAAUCUGCUUCAUCAUUCUGCUAGAAUCAAGAAAUCUUAAUCUUCUAUUCUCAAGACUCUCUGAAGCAAUGUAAUAUUUAUUUUUUUCUAUACUUUAUCUGUUUCCCCGUUUGAAUUUUCACCGUUUCCAAUUGAUUAAAGUAUUUCCCUAUUUGUUUAUGUAGUGGGUUCACUUUCGUGAAUUUCCAGUUGUCACAUUAUUUUUUAAUGUAUUUAUCUUUUCUCUAUGUAUUUUUCUAUUUCCUAAUGGUUCUAAUUUGAAUGGCUAAAGUUGUAGGAGCAUGUGUUUAUAUUGCAUUUGAAGUUAAAAUAUACCAUUCCAUUCUAUUUAAACUUUCAUGCACAUUUCAAUUAUUUACAAACUUAUAUACUCCAAACUAAAUGUUCCAUUUUGGAUAUAUAAACAUUUGUAAUACUCCUACAGUAUAGAUAAAGUUGAAAUCACAAAGUGAUGUCGUGAAUACGUUGUAUUCUUUGAAAUACUAUUAUUAAUUUCAUUAUGCUUUAUUUACUUCUCAAUUGACGACAUUGGAACUCAUAAAUACCACCUACCAGUUUUUAAAAUAUAUUUGCAAAUAUUACAUCUUCAAUUUAUUGCAUUUCUUCUUUGUCUAUCACUUUCCCAACACUCUACUAAAUGAAAUGCUAAUUUGUUCAAAUAGAAUGCAAAAAUUAGAUUACUUUAAUUGGAAUUUGUUUAUUGUCACUUUAUGAAAUUUAACAAUUCAUUGAGUUCAGAGUUUAAAUUAUGAUUCUACAUUUGUUUUACUAAUUUCCCUAUUUUGCAAAUUACAAUGAUUGUCGGUGAGAAUCCAAAUGAGACAAGAUAGUAUGAUUUUCUUGCUUGUGACAAACAUCAUGUACACUUCCACAAGACAAAUCUUGCUGAAUUUUAGUUCAACCUUACGGUUCUCAUUUAGAUUCACAAUCGUCAAAUGUCUUCGUUUUUUGUAUUUUAUGUAUGAGAUUCGAAUUGCUUAUUGCUUUAGCGAAAUUUAGAACAAAUUUAUUUGAACUACAAAAUAAUGAAUAAUAAAAUGAUUGUCUACAUUAAAUUAUCAAAUACUUGAAUGAAAUAAUUUUUACGCUAACACAACUGGUCCACAAUAGAUUACUAUAGAUCUUUUUCAUUUUUAUAUACGUACAUUAGUUAAUUUAUUUUCCUUCAAAAAUAAUUCAAAGUUUUAUUUAUGUUUGCACUCCCUUAUCUAUGUCAUAUGUAUUCCAGUAUGUUCUCUUAAACUAUAUUAUGAAAAUCAUGAAAAAAAGGAAAAGAGAAUUCCUUCAUUUGCAAAAUCUGAUAUAUAUCUUCGUUAUUUCAUUAGUACAAUCACAUAUUAUAUUAAGAUAAUACUUCUUGAAUUAAAAAUAAUCUGUCCUUAUUCAUAUAAAAUUAGCUCUUACUUUAAAUUUUUGGUUUUCAUAAUAUCAUCCGAAAGUUUAAAUUAUUAUACAUUCUCUGUUCUUCCAAUUAGAUAACAAAUAGUUCGUACUUUGUUUCUUUACUUACAUUAAAUGAAACUAACAAAAAAUUUAUUCAUCUUCUGUAAAAAUUACUAAAAGAAAAAAGGGGCCAAAUGGGGACUUAGUUUCUUUCAUAAUUGUAUUAUGUAUAUUCUUGUUUUAAAUAUAUGUUUUUUGUUGAAUCUAACUACUUGUAAACAUUUGUGACUAAACAAUUUCUCUUCUUCAGGUUUUUUUAUCAUUUUCUUCAGCUCUUAUAGAAACUCGAAAUCAGAAUUUGUAAAUUAUAGUUAUAAAAUGCAAAUUAAACAUUAUAUUUUACCUAUUAAAUCUGUCAAAAUCUUGUGCUGACAAUCCAAUUAACUAAGACCCCAAUGUGUUUAAAUUAGAUUCUCAACACUAGAUUUUUGAAGGUUUACUACGUAGAACUUAAUGGUGAAUCUGCAUUUCAUGUAUCUUAUUUUCAUAUUCUGAUGGUUCACAUGUUCAAUGCAAUUGUUAGUCAGAAAUUCAUCUAACUUUUGCCAUUUUUCAUAGGUAAGUGAAUAUAUUAUUUAUAUCUUCCUUCUGAAGAGAAUUUGUUCCUAAGCAUAUUUCAAGUCGUUUAUCACUAAAUUUAUUUUACACUAUUUUACAUUUCGAUUUAACAAAUUUUUUUCUCUGUAGCGCUAUUUAGUUACAUGAUGCUUCUUCCUUAUAAUAUCUUUGUAUUCGUUAAAUAACUUGUAAAUUUUUGUUAAUCUUUUAACCACUCAUUUUCUUUUAAAACAGUUAUAUUAACUGUAUUUAAUUAUCUUCUCUGCAGAUUUCCACAAAAGUAUAUGGAUUUCGUUAUAUACCACCAAACUUCUUACAAUAAUACAAACACAACUCUGUAAAUUAAUGAACAAGCUAGCACACUCAGAUUCCACUUGUGUUUUGUGAAAAAUCAGUACAUUUAAACACAAGCUCAUUUCUUGUUCUCUUGUCCAUCAGAUGACAUUCAUAUUAUAGUAAACCUUCAAAUGAGAUAAAUCAACCCAUUCAUUUACAACAGGUAAAACAGGCAAAUAGUACUACUCUUUAUAAUAUCAACUAAUAAAUUUAUUUUCUUUCAACAUUUCUAUCAGUGUAUUUACUAUUCCAAGUAUAAUUUACUCUGUACUUUCUUUUCCUGUUAUGCAGAAAAGCAGUACGACAAAUAAACACUUCAUAUGAACUGUAAAACUAGGAUGAGCCGUAUAUAAAAGGUAUAUGUUCUUAAAAUCACCUCAUUCAUUUACACAUUUCAUUACUCACUAACAUACUACUAGGAAAUAAUUGAAUCCUACUAUAUACAAUUAUUUAUUUCACAAAUGCACCAACAAUUACAUUUUUACAUGUUCUUGUAUAAUUGCAACUUCUGUCAUCUGAAGGGAAAAAAAGACUCUUAAAAAAAUUUCUCCUCUGAAUUUCUUCCAGGUACCUUCUACAUACAUGCAGUAUGCACUAUGAUGCAGUAAAUAGAAGAAAAUCUUCCAUUUACAAGGAAAAAAUAAAAUAACUUUACAACAAUUUUCCACAUACUUUUGACAAUAGAUAAUAUUUUACAAUUGACACAUGUUCAUUUGUACUUUUAAUUCUUGUCUUCUGAACAUUUGAAAAUGUGUAAUGAAAAAUCAAAAUAUGUAUAAGAAAAUAGGCUUCCUCCAUAAAUUUUCUAUAAUGGCUACACUCAAUACUUCAUUUUUAGAUUUGCAAACAUAUAAACGUAUUACAAUUAUCACUUACACCUUCCAACACUUCAGAAGUCCUUACUUUAGUUUGAUGCUUGUAAUUUUUUUCAUAUCCAGUCUACAACUCUUUCUUCGUCUUUUGCAUUAAUAACUUUCUUUCAUUUCCCUAAUAAAUACAGCUAUAGUGUUAUAUUCAUAACUACAUUUUUUUACACUUUGACUUAUUUUUCAUGCAAAUGAUAUAAAAUAUGGCUGCAACUUACAAGCUUUUCACACAAAUUACUACAUCAAAGAUGAACUGGUCUGCAAAGCUUAUUGUUGCAGGAAAAUAGGCACCAAAAACUACACGUAACUCUACAACUCAAUAUCAAAAUCUUAUCUUCAUGGACUUGCAGGUUACUACAUACUAAUAGUUACAAGAAUCUUGCAGCUUUCACUAUAACUAUAUUUUCUAUUCACAUAUUCAUCUCUUUCUAACAUUGAACAGGGUAACACAGUACAACUACAAUGUAUGAUGCUAAUAUUACAGCCCUUAGUGAUCAGCUGACACUUGGAAAGACAUACAUAAUCUCAAAUGCAAUGGUUAUAAAUAACUAAAGUGAAUUUAAAAGUACAUCUGAAGAGAAGAUUUGGACUAUAACAGAAAGAACAAAGGUUGAAGAGUUAAAUGAGAAUAACUUGAACUUUUUGUUUUCGAAGUACGAGCUCGUUCCAUUUCAUGCACUCAAACAUCAUAUGGACAAAAACACGAACAUAAGUAAGAUUUCUAUCGUACUAACUUUACAACAAGUACUUCCAUGUAAUGUUCUAUAGAUAUUUUGUUCGUACUAACAUUUAAUACAUACAAAACACUACGAAUGAAAUCUUCCUGUUUUUCUUGCAGAUAUUAUUGGCGUUGCUAUAGAGGUUCGCCAAAAAAGGAUCAUCCAGACUCAUUUUGGUACCCAAGCCGGUCUUCAAGAUGUUAUAUUGAUAGACAAAAACUUGCAGACAAUGAUGUUAACUCUAUGGGACACUUUUGUUGAACGGGAGUGCACUGCCGUUGUUCAAAACCUACCAAUAAAACCUGUGAUUUGGGCCAUAAAUCUUAAAGCAUCUUCUUUCAAUGGUA
rnacentral:lncRNA from 1 species